AAUCAACGGAUUUAGAAGUAAAUCUUAUAUAAUUAUCACAAACUCAUUUAAUUUUGGAGUUAGCACAUUGAGCCUUCAGAAAUAAAAUAGAAAUACAAUAAUGAAUUUUAUUUCACUGCUCUGCUGUUUCAUCUUCCUCCAUCAUCAAACAGCUGCGAAGUAUAUUCUAGAAACCAACAGCGACGAGAUACCAGAACAAUGCCAGAACAUCUGUCAAUAUUUGAGAAUGAGUGUACCUACCCACACUCACACGAUACCAGGGUCCACUGCCCACGAUAUUCCGGUAAAAUUCGGACCAGUAAUCCCCAAAAAUAACCGAAGGUCUUUAGCUGGUGAAUUUCAAGAGGCUGCGCUAUUAUGUCACUGUAUGGAUAGACUGACUCAGUGGAAGGUCGCAGCUAGGACUAACUACAGACCGACCAGUUCCACGGUACCACCAAUGUGGAAUAUAAAUAUUUAAAGAUAGUUUAAAUACGAGCUUUAUAUUAAAUACGGUGUUUAUACCUC